rnacentral:rRNA from 1 species
GUUAAGAAUCUUGCGCAAUGGGGGAACCCUGACGCAGCGACGCCGCGUGGAUGAUGAAGGCCUUCGGGUUGUAAAGUCCGGUAAGCAGGGAAGAAUAAGUGUGGGGUAAUAUUCCACAUGAUGACGGUACCUGCCUAAAGCCCCGGCUAACUACGUGCCAGCAGCCGCGGUAAUACGUAUGGGGCACGCGUUGUUCGGAAUUAUUGGGCGUAAAGGGCGUCUAGGCGGGGGAUUAAGUUAGAUGUGAAAGCUAUGGGCUAAACCCAUAAAUUGCAUCUAAGACUGGAUCUAUUGAGUCCGGGAGAGGAGAGCGGAAUUCCAGGUGUAGCGGUGAAAUGCGUAGAUAUCUGGAAGAACACCAGUGGCGAAGGCGGCUCUCUGGCCUAGGACUGACGCUGAAGCGCGAAAGCGUGGGGAGCGAACAGGAUUAGAAACCCUUGUAGUCC